AGCGAACGCUGGCGGCAGGCCUAACACAUGCAAGUCGAACGAACCUUUCGGGGUUAGUGGCGGACGGGUGAGUAACACGUGGGAACGUGCCUUUAGGUUCGGAAUAACUCAGGGAAACUUGUGCUAAUACCGAAUGUGCUCUUCGGGGGAAAGAUUUAUCGCCUUUAGAGCGGCCCGCGUCUGAUUAGCUAGUUGGUUGAGGUAAUGGCUCACCAAGGCGAGGAUCAGUAGCUGGUCUGAGAGGAUGAUCAGCCACAUUGGGACUGGGACACGGCCCAAACCCCAGGGGGGGGAGGGGAGGGGGAAAUAUGGGAAGUGGGCGAAAGCCUGCAGCGCCCCGGCCGGGGUAAUGGUAAAGGGUUUGGGAUUGUAAAUUUCUUUUCCCGGGGAGGAAAUGAAGGUAACCGGGAAAAAAACCCCCGCCAACUUCGUG
rnacentral:rRNA from 1 species